AAGCUAGUUAGAAAUUUGCACAAGCCAGGGUUUCACAGACAAAAAAAUUUAAGUGCUGUUUUGCUCCUGCAUAGAAAAAUUAACCACAUAGAUGUAAAGACAAGAUUUUCUCUUUCUCUCUCCCCAAUGUUCUGCAACCCUCCUUCCCAUCCAGACCUUUAGAAAGAAAAUAUAAUGGCUAGAGGAAGAGCAGGCGGCAGUUAGCACUGGAAUACGAGACUAUCUGGAGGUGUUUCAGGUAGGUCUUUGACAUCAUAGGAAUCUCAAGAAAAACACUGCUGAUGAGAUUUUUCUCUGAGAAGGUGAGGGGGAGGAACCAGGACCCGAUGGCCUUAUGUGCCCCUGUUUGCUCACAGGUGGACAGUAUCUGAAAAACAAAAAGGAGAAACAAGCCUGGGUUACUGGCAUCAUGAUGUAGAACACUUUCAGUAAUGAAAUAAUAUCAUUUGAGAAAUGCCGUUUUCAAAACAAGACUAUUAAAAUUGAAGAAAAUAUUCUAAUUUGGGGUUUAUAAGUGAGUACUAAGGCUAAUUGGCAAUAGCACUUAAAUUACUUUUUAGUGGUGUACUUUUAAUCUACACAAGAACCAUCAAAAAUAAUUGAUGUCAGAAACUGAGUCCACAUUCAUAGUUUAAAAGUCAAACACAAUCAUGCAUAUCUGAAAUUAACCAAACAAAAUUUAAGAUAGGAUGUGGUGAAUUUUAGUAUAAACAAAAACCACUUCUACUCAAAAAUUCUAAAAACACAUACAUACAAAAAUACAUACAUUAAAAAUAAAUAUAUAAGACAAACUCCAAGCAAACCUUAAGAUAUGAACCAAUUUCAUAUUGAUAUGAACCACUUUCAUAUCAGAGUAGAGUUUUAUUUGUUUAAAUAAGAUGACUAAUUUUUUUUCUACCUGGAUGAAUGCAGUCUUUAAGCCAGGAGAGUUUAUAGCACUGCAAAGCAUUUGUAGUACCUGUUGCCAUGGAAACAACCAUUGUCUCUGGUGGGAUCUGUAAAAAUGGCCCAGUCAUGCUGAGACUAUACACUCUUAUUGACCAGUAUCUACACAGUGUUUGUAAGUUAUAGUAUUUUCAUGUGCAUGAUUUGGUUUUAUGAAAAAAAUGCUUUAAAUUAAAUAGCUAGGGGAUUCUACCACUCUGGCUUCUGUAGUAUACAAUAAAAAAAUUCCACCAAAAGCAACCUUCUAAGCAUAUAAUUUUUUCUGAACUGUUCAUUAUAAUCUACUUCUGCUCAUAGAAUGGGUAUUUCAAUAUAUUUGUUUUAUAAAUGACAUUUCAAGUGAGAUGAUUUCUUCAUGUCUGAAAUUUUAAGUGUAUGAUUAACCCAGUGGUGCUGUGUAUCAAUACAGCUUUACCUGUAAAGUCUUAGACAAGUUACCUAGUCUCUGAAUCCAGUUUAUACAAUAAAUAAGGUAGAGGUAAUCAUAUUACCCAACUCAUAAAUAUUUUGUGAGCACUAAAUGAGAUAAUCCAUGUAAGUGCUGAACACAGUCCCUGGCCCAGGGGAAAAUUCAAUAACCAUUAGCUAUGAGUAUGAAAAGAACUGUUGACAAUCAGCUUUGCAACACUUUCAGGCAAGCUAAGGAAAUUCAUCAGUGCAUAUGCAUAUGAAAUAUUAAGUCAGCUCUGGAAAUAGAGAAGUCUAUAUGUUUAUGGCCUUGACUAUUGGUCAUCUGACUUCAAUAUUUCUCAUGUUACUAGUCGGUUAAUUUGGACUAAUUAGCCAUUCAUAAAAAAAUGUUUGAGGCAGCUUUAGAAGCAGCACAGUCUAAAUAUACAAGUUCCACUUCCUUUUCCUGUGUGUCUAUGAUCCAGAAUGAAGUCAUAGAUAUCUGAAUGUUUGGGGCAGUGUCAGUCUUAGCGUGCAUUUAGCUAGUACUGUAGAAAACACAGAGUGAAAGAAGAAGAGUGGAAAUGCACCUGGGUCUGCAGCAUCACUCUGCUUUUCCAUCUCUGCAUGACCUUGGCCUGGAGAACCACACUUGUAAAGGUCAGUUCACUUAUUCAUGCAAUGAAAAUCAUACCAUUGCUAGUUGUAAAAAUAAAAGCUCCUAGAAGAAGCAGAUAAUUUAUUAUUCUGUUUUUUAUUGUUAACAUUUGAGAAAGCUGGGCUUAAGUGUGCUUGUUAUUUUUCUCUGUAUACUCACCUUUCACCCUAAUAAUAUUUGUAACUCAGCUUGAAUAUGCUCUAAUUGUGAUGCAGUUAAGGAAGUAGACCUGUAGACCUGAUCUCAACCUUUCUGUGGCUGAUGACUGGCCACAUCAGUUCUGAUUCUCCCCCCACCUUUUUUUCCCUAAAGACUCAUUCCCUCCUUUUCCAAGUACUGUAUAUCUCUGCACCUCCUCUCAUAAACUUUUCUAAUAGUUACUAUGGACCACAUCUUUCCCAGGAGAAGGGAAAAACAUAGAUGCAUCACAGUCGGGACUGAGUUUGGUAUGUAGUGAGUUAACAGAUAUUGCUGUCAAUCCUUAAAAAUACCAUCAUAUAUUCCCUGUAUCUCUCCUGGCCACUGAGAACCAUGGAUCUCACACAGAAGGAAGCUUCACGGAUACACAUGUGCUACUGAGAAGUUGGGUGGGAGGAAUGUACUUGACUGGAACCGAGACCUGAAGAGCUCUUACUUCCAGGAUGCUGUGCACUCCAUGGUCAGGCAAAUGGUGUCUGGGAGAGGAAGUCUAUGGAGGAAGGACGCUGUUGGACAGGGAGAAGUGGGAGAUGGUAUAAGACUUCAGAGAAACAGAAUUCUCAUAAGGGAACCAGAGUACUAACUAAAGGACAGAAUGAUUUGAUAGAAAAUUUGUGAAUUAUCAAACAGGUGAAACUAUGAAGAAAGUAUGUGACCAUGGACACUGCAGAAUGUCUACCUAAAUAAGAAGUUGGAGAUGAGAAACGGACAGAAGAUUAUUAUAUAAACAGGCUGUAAGAAACUUUAAGUAGGUAGCCAAUCCUUAGUGGAAAACAUAUGGCAUGUUUUGUAUUCAGCCACUCAUUCAUUCAUUCUUCUUCACCAUCAUCAUCAUUGUUUAUUACUUUAAUUACAGAGGGUAUGAAGGAGUAAGAUAUUCCUUACUCUGGAGAGGCUAUAUGGUUGAAAAGAAAUAUGCAAUCAACCUUUAAGUCUAUGCUGUGUUUUCGAAGUUGGAAAUAGAAAAUAGCUUCACAAAGAAGAUGUUUUUGUUUGGCUUUGACUUUCAUGUAGAUUUAUUUUGUCAAGUGAGGGUGAUGAGUAUUUUUUUAGGCCAAGAGAACAAUAUUAUUAAUGACACAAAGGUAUGUAUGACAUGCUCAGGAAACCACAAAAUUCCAGCAUAGCUAUGGAAUAGAAUUUAUGGGAAAAGAUGAUGAGAACUCGGUCUGGACAUAUAGGUUGGAGGCAGAUUGUGAAGGACAUUAUAGAACAUCCAAGAAGUUCAGACUUUACCCUGUGUAAUAAGGGAGGGCUUUGAAGUUUUAUUUGUUUUUAUUUUAAGCCAGCUCAAAACUUUUUUUCUAAUGAUUAUGAAAGCAACUUAUAUUCAUUAUAUCCCGAAGUCUAGCCACUGCUCAUAUCAGUUUAUAUCCUCCCAGUGCUUAUAUUAAUUUAUAUGGAGAGAUGGAAAAUAGUACAUAUCCCAAGUUCCCCUCUCAGAGAAGUGCAAUCUUGGUAAAACCACAUGGUCCCACUGCCUCCUAUUUGUAACUGAGUAGAUGAGGGUAAACACACACAAAAUCUAAUAUAAAAUGUAAGGGAAAUACAUAAAGUAGACUUGUUGUUUGAUGGUGGGAGAUACUAUUUCAAGCUGGAGGAAUCAGGAUAAGGUUUGUGAAGAAGGUAGCAUAAAAAUACGGACUAAUAUGGAGUUCCCUGGUGGCUCAGUGGGUUAAGGAUCUGCUAUGGCUCGGGACACAGCUGUGGUACAGGUUCGAUCCCUAGCCCAGGAAUUUCUACAUGCUGUGGUGUGGCCAAAAAAUACGGACUGAUUCAUAAAGUUAUUUAUGUGGGGCUCAUACCAAUAUAUGUUGAGUUGCUACAGUUUCAGUAUAUGUGCUGAUAAAGUGAAUCUUUAACAUCCAAUAAAUGGUUGUGUUUGUUCUCUG
rnacentral:lncRNA from 1 species